UAAUAAUUUAAAACUCAAUAUAAAGCAUAAUUUAUCAAAACAUAUCAAAUCACAUUUUAUUGAUCCACAAAAAUAAUCCAAUAUUUGUCAAUUAAAACAAAUUCUUUAUUUUUAAUCACAUGUUAUUUAAAUCCUUCUAUUUCCAAAAAAAAAUCAUCAUAAUAAAUUACAAUCAUUGACAAAACAUUUAUCAUAUAAUCACCAUUUAAGGGUGUUGAAAACAAUUCACACAAUUGGACCCAUGACACAAAAUUUUCAAUCAUUGCCGUGUUGUACACCACGAUAACGUAAAGUAAACUCCCCUCAAUAACCGAAGCCAAAGGGAAGCAUAAAAGACUAGCUAGCAUAUAUGAGUACUCAUCCAAUCUCUACCUCAACUAGCAAGCCAGAGAGGGAGGAACUCAACCCCAUCAAGUGGAGGAGACAUCUCACUAGACAAGCUAAUGAGA
rnacentral:misc_RNA from 1 species